GGCGCGCGGACACAGUCAGUGCUGACAUGGUGCUCUGUAGGUUUUUUUUUUGUCUUUACUUCUUUCUGUUUUGUCGCGCAAAGUAAUAAGUUGCAGAGAUAUAUAUUUUUAAACGCGUUUAUAGACCGGAAACACGUCAAAAAAGUUUCCAAAUCUACAAAUCUGGAGCGGUGAAAGGCUUUGAGUUUUUAAACCAGCUGUCAAGAGAAAAGUCAAACUUUGCAAGAAGAACCAAACAGAUAAACCAAAACUGCUUGCAACGCUUAGGACUCAAAGUAAAGGGGAUGCAAAACAAUCCAGGAACUGUGAAUAAGGAAGAAGACAUCCAGCAGUGACCUUCCUCAGUGUCCACUCCCGACAUUCCUGUGAUUAUUCCCGUGAUUUCCUUGAACAUGUGUCAGAGAGGGAGAUCGACACACGAGCAAAGAUGAACCCUUACGUCACGUCUCACUUCAGGAGGGAUCUUUUCCCCCACUUUCAUUUGUUGUAGACUUUUCUCCUCUCCCAAUAUUUAAGGUUGUAUUUCUUUUCUGCAUUUACUUGUAAUUUUACCUGCUAAUUUAUUUUGUUGCAUUUUUUGCGCUUAAAUGUGCAAGUUUUUCUCUUGCAGUUCCUAAAUUAUUUGAUUUUGCUCACUAUUCCUCAACACUACUGACGUAGCGAGACAUGGUAAAUAUGAGCAUAUGUUUUCUUUUAAUCAACCGUAAGGUUAUACUCUUUGGAAAACCAAAAAGUUAGCAGCUCAUGUUAAUUCUUAUUAUUAAGUCUGUUAUUUAUCCUUUAUUUUUAUUAUCUUUGUUUUUAAGUGUGCUGAAGUCGUACUUUUGUGCUUUGGUUAAACCAGGUUGCUGAUUGACAGCCUCAAACCCAUCAAGGUAGCUGCAUGUUUUGUCAGCUUUUAUUUCACCACCGUCCGCUUUUAUGCAAAAUGCUGAAUUUUUUUUCAACAGUUGAUCCUAUGUUCUGCAUUUUCUUCCAAAAGCUGCUGACUUAAAUCUCGAAUCACUGUUCCCCUGCGAGGUAGAUAAUGUUUUGCCGUGGUUGUCCUCCUGUCCUCCUUCGUCUGCUUUAGGAGGUCUCUGCUGUAACAGGGGCUCUGACAGGCGCGCUGGCACAGGUACCUGAGUGGAAUUAAGUAAUAUGAAGUAAUAUUAGUUUCUUGAGGCCAGUCAGUUUACACCAUGGCCAUCAGACUGCUGUGCAGACACUUGGAGAGAAAAUGUACAAUUGUUAAAGCUGUAACAUGAUGGAACUGUCUGGCAGAAUUAUGGUUAUUUGAGUCACUUUCUAGACUUUCAAACGUAGCUGUAAAAAUAAUAAUUAUAUGUGUAUUAUACAUUAGUUACAUUUGUAAUUUUUAUUUUUUCAUGCACAACUGAGAAGAACUUCAUCGUAAGAGUUUGCACGUUUUUUUGUCGUUUUUGCAUGCUAAAAAUGAUUUGAACUGAUUGUACUUUUGGUUUAGUCAAUAAUGCAAGUUAUUAUUUUUCUUUUUUUAAAUGUAAGAAGAGACUAGAGCUGGACUUCCUUGGACUGUUAUUUUCCUGAUCUUCUGGCUAUUGAUAGGUCACAAGACUUCCCUUGAAUUCCUUUUGGAACUGAACAACCCUGCA
ensembl:lncRNA